CCUACGAGAGGCAGCAGCUAAGAAUCUUCCGCAAUGGGCGAAAGCCUGACGGAGCGACACUGCGUGAAUGAAGAAGGUCGAAAGAUUGUAAAAUUCUUUUAUAAAUGAGGAAUAAGCUUUGUAGGAAAUGACAAAGUGAUGACGUUAAUUUAUGAAUAAGCCCCGGCUAAUUACGUGCCAGCAGCCGCGGUAAUACGUAAGGGGCGAGCGUUGUUCGGGAUUAUUGGGCGUAAAGGGUGAGUAGGCGGAUAUAUAAGUCUAUGCAUAAAAUACCACAGCUCAACUGUGGACCUAUGUUGGAAACUAUAUGUCUAGAGUCUGAUAGAGGAAGUUAGAAUUUCUGGUGUAAGGGUGGAAUCUGUUGAUAUCAGAAAGAAUACCGGAGGCGAAGGCGAACUUCUGGGUCAAGACUGACGCUGAGUCACGAAAGCGUAGGGAGCAAACAGGAUUAGAUACCCUGGUAGUCUACGCUGUAAACGAUGCACACUUGGUGUUAACUAAAAGUUAGUACCGAAGCUAACGUGUUAAGUGUGCCGCCUGGGGAGUAUGCUCGCAAGAGUGAAACUCAAAUGAAUUGACGG
rnacentral:rRNA from 1 species